rnacentral:rRNA from 1 species
CAUAUUGGACAAUGGAGGCAACCCUGAUCGAGCCAGGCAGGCUGUGUGAAGAAGGACUUCGCAUGGUAUAUCACCUUCACUUGGGCGGGAAGGCUUUAUGCUAAUACCCAGCAGAUUUGACGUUACCAACGUAAUAAACACCGGCUUACCCUCUGCCAGCCGCCGCGGUAAUACAGAGGGUGCAAGCGUUAAUCGGAAUUACUGGGCGUAAAGCGCGCAUAGGUGGUUCAGUAAGAUGGGUGUGAAAUCCCCGGGCUUAACCUGGGAACUGCUUUCAUAACUGCUGAGCUAGAGUACGGUAGAGGGUAGUGGAAUUUCCUGUGUAGCGGUGAAAUGCGUAGAUAUAGGAAGGAACACCAGUGGCGAAGGCGACUACCUGGACUGGUACUGACACUGAGGUGCGAAAGCGUGGGGAGCAAAC